UUGGAGGGCAAGUCUGGUGCCAGCAGCCGCGGUAAUUCCAGCUCCAAUAGCGUAUAUUAAAGUUGUUGCAGUUAAAAAGCUCGUAGUUGAAUUUCGGGGUUCAUCCGUUGGUCGGGCUUUUUUGGUCUGUACUGGCGUGAUGGAUUCCUACCUUCUGAAUAACCGGCAUGUCAUUAAUUUGGUGCGCCGGGGAAGCAGGACUGUUACCUUGAAAAAAUUAGAGUGCUUAAAGCAGGCUAUCGCCUGAAUACAUUAGCAUGGAAUAAUGAAAUAGGACGGCAUGGUUCUAUUUUGUUGGUUUCUAGGAUCACCGUAAUGAUUAAUAGGGAUAGUUGGGGGCAUUAGUAUUCAAUUGUCAGAGGUGAAAUUCUUGGAUUUAUUGAAGACUAACUUCUGCGAAAGCAUUUGCCAAGGAUGUUUUCAUUAAUCAAGAACGAAAGUUAGGGGAUCGAAGACGAUCAGAUACCGUCGUAGUCUUAACCAUAAACUAUGCCGACUAGGGAUCGGACGAUGUUAAUUUUUAAUGACUCGUUCGGCGCUUACGGGAAA
rnacentral:rRNA from 1 species